GACAACUCGCGGGGAUUGUUUUCCACACCGUGGAAGCUUUGUUCUUUUCGUUUUUUGCAAUAAAUCUUGUUGCUGCUCGCUUUUUGGGUCCACAUUGCUUUUAUGAGCUGUACCACUCACCGUGAAGAUCUGCAGCUUCACUUCAGAGCCUAGCGAGACCACAAGCUCACUGAGAGGAACAAACAACUCCAGACGCGCUGUCUUAAGAGCUAUAACACUCACCGCGAAGGUGUGCAGUUUCACUCCUGAGCUAGUGAGACUACGAAGCCACUGGAACGAAGAAACUCCAACCACGUUUGAACAUCAGAAGGGGCAGACUCCAGACGCUUCAUCUUAAGAGCUGUAACACUCACUGUGAAGGUCUGCAGCUUCACUCCUGAGCCAGCGAGACCACGAACCGAUCUGAACAUCAGAAGGGACAGACUCCAGAUGCCCCACCUUAAGAGCUGUAAUACUCACUGCAAGGGUCUGCAGCUUCAUUCUUGAAGUCAGACCAAGAACCCAGCAAUUCCCAACACACAGGGACCAGCUUCUUUCCUAACUCACUUAGGCUCUUCGUGCUGCUCUGGCAACUAACACCCUUGGCUGCAGGGGCUUGGACACUACCCUUAGUCACUGACAAUUGUGUGAAGGCUGCUGUCGUUAACUUCACUUGAUCACCUUAGGCUCCUGUGAAGUGGUGAGCAAUUCAAACAAAUUCCUGUCGUCAAAUCAUAUAAGAUCAAUCAGAUUCGUGUUUUGCAACUACUUCUUGGCAAGACGUACGGGACUGACCGCAGUUGACACAUGCCAAUAGGGGGAGAAAUCUGAAGACGUGUUUCUGUGCAGUGGUGGCACCCAGGGGCUCUGGCCAGAGGAGGUCACAGGAAGAUGCCUAGCGGCCCGUGGAGCGACCUGCCCCGCAUUGUCACUUGACCGCUGGUGUGCGAAGGGGAUAACACUGUGUUCAAUGUGUUUGUAACCUUGCAUGAAAAAAUUGAAGAAAUGUCACUUUCUUCUCACCCUCUCCCAGGCCAAUCAUCUGUCAUGAAUUCAAUAUGAGGCAAACGUCUGGUGAUCACAGGGACAAACUAGGGAUAGGCCUUUGGGAGAGGAAUCUACUCAGUUUGUGUUCAACCGGACUAUCCAGGUAGGGGAGCUGGCUGGAGAGGGAGCCAGCAUUUGUUGACUGUAAUCUCUGAGCUAGGGUCGCAAUUACAUCUUCUGCAUCUUUGUGUGCAUAGUACCAAGCACAGAAUUAUCCAGAGUAGACACUCAAUAAUUGUUUGUUGGAAGAGUCAUUGUUGCUUUUGCUUCCAAGCCCCUCACAAAUUUCCACACAGUGCAGUUGAGCUCGCACAGUCAAUGAACAGUUUAUAUCUGAUUAAUAGGGGCUGAUAGUCUGAGGUGGCCUGCCUUCUUGCAGAGAAAGUUUGGGGUGGGUUACUGAGACAGGCUGGAUUCAUGGGGUGAGUUGGCUCAUGACCCAACAUAGCCAGGAAGCAAAGCGGAUAUUCCUCUGAAUUUUGCAGGCCAGGUGUGGCAUGUGUCUGAAAUUUCAGCUGCUUUAUCUUUAUACCCAUCAUUUUGGUAAGACUAUGUGUCCAAUCUGAAAUUCACCAACAGGACAGGGCCAGCUGCCAGAACUGAAGUCCCAAGAAGAAAACCAAGCAAAGCUGAGACACAAACCUGAACUUUUGAACUUGUCAAUCUACUGAGUCAACUAACUCUGGGACUCCCAUGUCUGGACUUCUUCAUGUGUGUUAACCUAUCUUCCUUGUUGCUUUUGCCACAAGGUGUUCUGGUUCUUGUAACCAAACGCAUCCCAUCUGACUCACUGGGCACCUGACUCCAGUUGUGUAAAACAGGCCCAGAUAGCUUGCCUUUGCCUCCGUUGGCGUGUGGUGGACAAUUGUAAAUUUCCUUGUAAGGUAUAUUAGUCCGUUCUCACGCUGUUAUAAAGAACUGCUCAAGACUGGGUCAUUUAUAAAGGAAAGAGGUUUAAUUGACUCACAGUUCUGCACGGCUGGGGAGGCCUCAGGAAACUUACAAACAUGGCAGAAGGGAAAGGAGAAGCAGGCGCCUUCUUCAUAGGGUGGCAGGACAGAGUGAGAGCAAGCAGGGGAAAAUGCCAGAUGCUUAUAAAACCAUCAGAUCUCAUGAGAACUCACUAUCAUGAGGACAGCAUGGUGGUAAUCACUCCCAUGAUUCAAUUACCUCCCACAGGGUCCCUCCAACGACAUGUCGGGAUUAUGAGAACUACAAUUCAAGAUGAGAUUUGGGUGGGGACACAACCAAACGAUAUCAUAAGGUAUUUUCUCCAAUCAAAUAUCCUGGAAACCCCAUGUUUAUGGUAUUCCAUUAUGGCAGCCUGAACGGAGUAAGGCAGCUACUACCAAAGGACAGAAAAUCACAAGUGCUGGAGAGGACGUGGAGAAACUGGGAUCCUUCUGCACUGUUGAUGGGAAUGUCACACACAUCUCUGUGGCAAACAAUAUGGUGCUUCCUCGAAAAAUUCAACAUGGAAUUAUCAUGGGAUCCGGCAACUCCACUUUUGAGUAUACACCCACAAGAAUUGAAAGCAGGUAUUCAAACAGGUGUCCGCACAUCUGUGUUCAUAGUAGCAUUACUCACAAUAGACAACAGCUGGAAGCCAUCCAAAUGUCCACUGAUGAAUGAAUAAACCAAAUGUGGUCCAUAUAUGUAAUGGGAUAUUAUUCAGCCCUAAAAAGGAGGGAAAUCCAGUCCCAUGAUACAUCAUGGAUGAACCUUGAGGAUGUUAUGCUAAGUGAAAUAAUCCAGACACAAAAAGACAAACACUGUAUGAUUCCACUUACAUGAGGUUCCUAGAGUAGACAAAUUCACAGAGACAGAAAGUAGAAUGGUGGCUGAGGAGAGGAAGGAGCGGGGAGUUGGUGUUCAAGGGGUACAGAGUGUCAGUUCUGCAAGACAUGAAGCUUUCUAGACAUGGUGUAUGCAAUUUAAAUAUAUUUAAUAUGAUUGGACUGUAAAUUCAAGUGGUUAAGAUGGUAAAUUUUAUGUGUAUUUUACUGCAACUUAAAAAUGAGGUUAUUAACUUUUUUUAAAUUUUAAAAGAAAAGUGGAAGAAAUAAAAGAUGGGUACAUCAAA
rnacentral:lncRNA from 1 species